rnacentral:rRNA from 1 species
GCUGGUUCUUAAAGCGAGGUGGAACGACUCGAUCUCAUUCCGAACUCGGUUGUCAAACGCCUCAGCACCUACGAUACUAUCCCUCGGGAUGGGAAAAUAGGUCAGAGCCAGCA